rnacentral:rRNA from 1 species
GAUGAACGCUGGCGGCGUGCCUAAUACAUGCAAGUCGAGCGAACAGAUGAGGAGCUUGCUCCUCUGACGUUAGCGGUGGACGGGUGAGUAACACGUGGAUAACCUACCUAUAAGACUGGGAUAACUUCGGGAAACCGGAGCUAAUACCGGAUAAUAUAUUGAACCGCAUGGUUCAAUAGUGAAAGACGGUUUUGCUGUCACUUAUAGAUGGAUCCGCGCCGCAUUAGCUAGUUGGUAAGGUAACGGCUUACCAAGGCAACGAUGCGUAGCCGACCUGAGAGGGUGAUCGGCCACACUGGAACUGAGACACGGUCCAGACUCCUACGGGAGGCAGCAGUAGGGAAUCUUCCGCAAAGGGCGAAAGCCUGACGGAGCAACGCCGCGUGAGUGAUGAAGGUCUUCGGAUCGUAAAACUCUGUUAUUAGGGAAGAACAAAUGUGUAAGUAACUAUGCACGUCUUGACGGUACCUAAUCAGAAAGCCACGGCUAACUACGUG